UUCGAAGAGAGAGGAGUGGUCGAUCGGAACUUUUUUCGGCGAGAUAAGAUAGCUGGUGGUGGUGGAGAUGGUGGGUUGAUGUGGUGGUGUAAGGGUGGAGCAAAGGUAGAGAGAAGUUAGAGAGAGAAGAAUGCAGACAAAAUAAAAUAAAAGUCUAUAGCCUUUUUUUUUUUUUCUUUUUUUGAUUUGAAAGAUGGUGUUUGGUCACACUCACAAUCAAGUUUGGAGUUGGGUUUAGAUAUUCUAAUUGAAGUUUAAUUUAAGAGGUGUUUGACUCUGGAUAAAUGUUGGGUGUAUCAUAUGUAUUUCCUCUUCUAUUCCAUUAUUACAAUUUGCAAGAUCUGCAGAUAGGUGAGCAAAAAGCUAAGAAGUUUCUUUUCUGUACACCCUUCAUUGAGUAAGAUCGAUGGUGUUGGAAUUUUAUUGUUCAUAUCUAGAUCCGGUUAAUCUUGACAUCGUUUGAGAGACUUAUAUCUUUAAAAAGAAUGAUUUGUCUCAUGUUGAAAUUUCAAUUGGAUCUCAUAGUUGAGAUUUUUCACCGACCAAAGUUAAUGAAUGAAGAUCUCUUACUAGUCAGAAUUAAUGAAAGGAUUCAACUGGACUAAGAGCUAGAAUGCUGGGCGCCAAGGAAUUUCUUUAAAAAAAUCAUGUCAUUUGGUCCAUGAUCUCUUGCAAGCUUAUCUCAAUUCAUGAUUUGGUGAAUGCAUUCUACAAUUUCUUUAAAUAAAGAUACAGAUUGAGAGAGCUUUAUCCUCUGAAAUUCGAAUCUCAACCUAGUUUCUUCUUCAAUAUUUGUUUGCAAAAAAAAAAAAAAGGUCAAAAGAAAAAGAAAAAGAAAAAAAAAAAGAAAGAGAAGAAGUGGAUUGAAAAUGAGUGCCCUGCAAGGUGUAUUUUCAAUUGUAGGGGCAAUUGCAGGGAGAAUAGUUGAGCCCGUGAUCCAAUUAGUGGUGCUCCACGUUGGUUUUGUUUUUCAGUACAAGAAGAAGCAGAAGAAACUGGAAGUUGAAAUUAAAAACCUUGAAGAGCACAAAAAACAAAUCGAAGAAAAAGUUGAUGAAGCCAUUACUCGUGGUGAAGAAGUUGAUGAACCUGUUUCAAACUGGCUAGCAGAGGUGGAAGAAAGAGUUCAGAAAAUAAAGGAAGACAAUACUAUUGACGAAAACAUGCAGUGCUUUAAAUUCUCAUGUCCAGAUUACAUCUCGCACUACCGAAUAAGCAAGGAUGCCGAAAACAAGAUGGAAGAAGUAAAAAAUCUCAGUCAGAGUGGCAAUUUUAGCACAGUUGCACAUCCUAAGCCAUUUGCUCAAGAACUUCAAUUCCCAUCAUCAAGUGCAAACUAUGCAAAUUUUGAGUCGCGAGAAUUGGCUUUCAAUAACAUCAUGGUGGCAUUACAAGAUUCCAAUGUUAAAAUGAUUGGAAUAUAUGGAACAGGAGGCGUUGGUAAGACGACAAUUGUCGAAGAGAUUGGCAAACAAGUGAAAAAUGGACUUUUUAAUGAAGUUGUGGUGGCAGUUGUCUCUCAGGACGCAUAUGUGAGCAAUAUUCAAGGGCAACUCGCUGAUCGCUUGAAUCUGGAACUAAAAGGGGAAACUGAAGUGGGAAAAGCAAACCAAUUGUGGAAUAGAUUGAACAAUGGGAAGAAAAAUCUCAUUAUAUUGGAUGAUAUGUGGCAAGAAUUGGACUUGAAGACAAUUGGGAUUCCUAUCACUGAUGGAAACAAUUGUUGCAAAGUUGUGAUAACGUCUCGAAUCCGAGGUGUGUUGGAAAAGAUGCAUGUUAAUAGUUAUGUUCCAAUGCAAGUAUUAUUAGAGAAAGAAGCAUGGUCCCUAUUCAAGAUGAAGGUGGGAAAUUCUGUUGACUCUGUUGAACUCCAUGAUAUAGCUAAUGCAGUUUGUAAAGAGUGUGGAGGUUUGCCGGUCGCUAUACUUGCAGUUGGAGCCGCAUUGAAAGAUAAGAAAAAAUAUGUUUGGGAAGAUGUACUUGAUCAAUUCAAAGAUUCCAUGCUAAAGAAUAUUGCGGGAAUCGACCCAAAGGUGUAUGCUUCGUUAAAGUUAAGCUAUGAUCGGUUAGAAUCUAGUGAUGCAAAAUCAUGCUUCUUGAUAUGUUGUUUCUUUCCUGAAGAUACUAAUAUUUCAAUUGAAGUGUUGGCGAGACACUGCAUAGCGAGAAGUUUGCUUGGACAAAACACAAAUACACUAAAAAGAGCAAGCCGUCGAGUACUUACAGUAGUCGAUAUCCUCAAAGAUGCUUGUUUGUUAUUAGAAGGCAAAGAUGAAAACUUUGUCAAAGUGCAUGAUGUCAUUCGAGAUGUUGCUCUUUCAAUUGCGAAAGAUGAUGGCAAGGAAAUUCUAGUAAAACAUGGUGAAAAAAAGUGGCCCGAGAAAGAUACAUGCGAAUCUUCCUCAGCAAUGUCAUUAAGGUUCGACAACACUCUUGAGCUUCCGGAUGAUUUGGUAUGUCCACAACUCCACACCUUGGCCAUGAAAUUGAAAAGGAAUAUCAAUCCUUUGCUUAAUGUUCCAGAUAGGUUUUUCAGUGGAAUGGAGAAACUUACAAUUUUAGAAUUGAAUAGAAUCUGUAUGUUGCCUCCAUUAUCUCUUGCAAAUUUGGUUAACCUUCGGAUGCUAUGGUUAGAUAAUUGUGUGUUGGGAGACAUAGCUAUACUCAAGGAUCUAAAUAAUAACCUUGAAAUACUUAGCCUUCAAGGUUCUAAUAUCGAGGUUUUGCCAUCAGAGAUAGGACAAUUGACCCGUCUUCGGUUGUUAGAUCUGGGAAAUUGUAAAAAGCUCACAGAGAUUCCACAAGGUGUCAUAUCCAAUUUGUCUCGCUUGGAAGAAUUAUACAUUUUAGAUGACUAUGAGUUUGGGCAUAGGGAGGAAAGAAGCAAAGUGAAUCUUGAUGAGUUGGGGAAAUUGACGCAAUUAACCACUUUAGAGAUUCACAUACCAAAUGUCACGCUAUUGCCCAAGGACUUCUGCUUUGAAAACUUCAUCAGAUUUAAAAUAUCAAUUGGUAUUUCCAUAAUUGGUAUGCCUAUUUCUGACACUAGUUCAAAGUCGUGUAAACUUGUGGGUGUUUCCUUAAUGGACAAGUUUAUCGUUUUGUUGCUGAGAGCUGAAGAGCUACAUUUGGAAAAAAUUGAAGGUUUACAAGAGGUGCUGCAUGACAGAGGUGGAGAGGGGUCUUUCAUGGAACGUCAUCGACUAAAUCCAUCAGGAUUCUUCAAUAAUUUAAUUCAAUUAACAAUUCUAGAUUGUAGGUUGAAAUAUCUCUUCUCCCUGUCCUGUGCAAGAGGAUUUCCACGACUCCAGAGACUAGGAAUAUUUAAUUGUGAGAUGAUGGAAGCAAUAGUUGGAAUUGAAGAAGAAAAAGAUGAAGAUGAACUCUCAAGUCAGGUAAUUAAUUUCAGUCAGUUGAAAUAUUUGUGUCUCGGGAAUCUACCCAAGCUCAUAAGCUUCUACCCCAAAGUGGAGAAGAUGUCAACAUCUGAAGGAAGUUCUUCUACCCAGGCACAAUUUUUGUUCAAUGAAAAGGUUGCUUUCCCAGUCUUGGAGUAUUUGAAUAUUCAGAAAUUGCCUAACAUAAUAGAGAUAUGGGACAAGCAAUUACUCAUGGCUUCAGAAAAAGAAUCAAAGUCCUUCUGCCAACUGGAAGCUAUGACGGUUUCUAAUUGUGAGAAAUUGGUGCAUGUGGUUCAGUUCAAUAUGCUCCCACGACUGCAAAAUCUGAACAUAUUCGAGGUAGAUAAUUGUCCAAAGGUGGAAGCGAUAGUCUCAGAGAAAGAAAAAGAAGAAGGAACCACCAAUAAUGAUAUCAUCGUGUUCUCUCAAUUAACAACUCUUCAUCUUUACGAUUUGGUGAGCCUUAAAAGUUUCUACAACUGGCCUACAAGAUCUGAAGCACAACCCUUGUUCAACCACCAGGUUUCUUUUCCAAGGUUGGAGACAUUAAUUCUCAAUAAUUGUGUAAACUCAAGAGAGAUACAUCCUUGGAAUGUUCAGGCUAGCAAAAUAUGUUUAAAAUUCUUGGACGUAGCGAAUCUGAACAAAUUAAUUGUGAGAAAUUGUAGUGAGGUGGCAGAGGUUUUUCAACUUGAGGGGCUAAAUGUUGGAGAAAGACAACAUGUUAGGCCAUUAAUUGAAGUAAGAAUGAUGGAAUUGGAUGCAUUACCUCAGUUGACAUGUUUGUGGAACAAGGAUCCCCAUGGAAUUCUGGGCCUUCAAAUCCUACAAUACCUAACAAUUAAGAAAUGUUCCCUCUUGAGAAAUCUAUUCACAUGUUCCACAGCCAUGGCUCUUCAACAACUCAAAGUACUUUAUUUGGAGUCUUGUCCGGUGAUGGAAGAAGUUAUUGCAGCAGCAGAGGAUGGGCUCAAGGAAGUGAUUGAUGAUGUGAUUGAAUUCCCAAAGUUGGAGUGGCUAAUACUGAAAGAUCUACCAAACCUCAACAGUUUCUGUAAUGCGAAAUAUAAUUUUAAUUUGCCAUCAUUACAAAGAGUUGUUCUAAAGAGGUGUCCGAAUAUGCACAACUUUACUUUUGGACAAGUACGCAUGUCACAGAUAUUUGUAAGUACACAUGGCAAUGAUGGCCUUCAAAUUGAAGAUCUCAAUAAGUAUUUAAAGGAACGACUUCUUUUGAAAGGAGAGGAAUGCGCAACUGUGGAUGAAAAUGAUCACCGCUGCGACGAAGUACAGUUCUCCUACCUUAAGCGGCUAUAGGAGUAAAACAGGUAAUUGAUAGAAUCAUUGGCAGCUAGCAAACCUUUUUCCUAUUAGGACACUCUCUGCUACCUUGGUGCAACUUGAGUUCAGCUAUAUAUGAUCGAGUUCAAGUUGCUGAGAUUGGAGUAUGCUGGAUUACCCUCCUACAGUCAAAGGCAAACUUAUUGUUUCUUUCAAUAAGUUAAAAAGCAAAAAAAUAAAAAUAAAUUGCAAAACUAUUCAGCUACCUAUAGCUGUAUAAGAAAUGAUAUAUAUAUAUAUAUGUGUGUGUGUGUGUGUGUGUGUGUGUGUGUGUGAGUGAAUAUGUGCGGUAGUAAUGUCAUAAUACUCUAUCUUGCUGAUGAGAUAGAAUUUGUAUGAUUUUGGAGGCUAAGUGUGCUAAUUAUGUGGGAUAUACACUUGCAGGGUAUUUUAUUUAUUUAUUUCUUUUUGUUGGGAUUUUA